rnacentral:sRNA from 1 species
GCCGAAAGAGCUUUACACGUCGCAGCUUUCGUCCCAACUUGCAGCUGGCCAACAUGGUCCAGAUAAUUCGCCAGAUGUGCCCCACUCCUUAUCGGGGAAACCGGAGAAAUGAUCAGGGCAUGUGCUUUAAACACCAGGAAGCCCUGAAACUCUUCUGUGAGGUGGACAAAGAGGCCAUCUGUGUGGUGUGCCGAGAAUCCAGGAGCCACAAACAGCACAGCGUGGUGCCUUUGGAGGAGGUGGUUCAGGAGUACCAGAAGAUAGGGUCAACUUCUUCAGUUGAGUUAUCUGAAACUGUUGGGCAGUGACACCAUGCCAAACACUGUUAAAUUCAUGCUAUUAAAAACAGUGGAGUGUUCUGCAAAGCCCGAUUCUCUGCGGCUUUAAGACUGGACAGUAUUGAAAUAUUCACAGGAAUCUUCCAAGCCAUGAAAGCUUAAUAUUAAAUAGCCCUUUUAAUUGCAAAGGAGAAAAAAAUGGAGACACUUGUGAAACCUUGCAUUCUGAGUGCUGCCACAAAUAAAUUAAGGAAUUCCAGAAUUUCUUCAUCUACUUCUGCAGUCUUAACUCUGAAUUUAUGACUGAAUAUAUCAAACUUCAGAUCUUAAAAAACAUCAGCUCGCGGGAGGCUGA